rnacentral:rRNA from 1 species
AUUGAACGCUGGCGGCAUGCCUUACACAUGCAAGUCGAACGGCAGCACGGGAGCAAUCCUGGUGGCGAGUGGCGAAUGGGUGAGUAAUAUAUCGGAACGUGCCCGGUCGUGGGGAUAACGUAGCGAAAGCUACGCUAAUACCGCAUACGAUCUACGGAUGAAAGCGGGGGGAUCGCAAGACCUCGCGCGAUUGGAGCGGCCGAUAUCAGAUUAGGUAGUUGGUGAGGUAAAGGCUCACCAAGCCGACGAUCUGUAGCUGGUCUGAGAGGACGACCAGCCACACUGGGACUGAGACACGGCCCAGACUCCUACGGGAGGCAGCAGUGGGGAAUUUUGGACAAUGGGCGCAAGCCUGAUCCAGCAAUGCCGCGUGCAGGAUGAAGGCCUCGG